CAAUGGCUUCAUCAAGCAGCCUUCAACCUGAUGGGAUGGGAAAUCAUGACCAGCUUACUCCUUUAGAAAAACAUGUAAUGUUCUUUGAUAUCAACAAAGAUGGAAUAAUAUACCCUUGGGAAACAUAUCUAGGUUUCAGAAAACUGGGACGUAAUAUUUUCCGCUCACUUUUGGCUGCUGUUCUCAUUCAUCUUGUUCUCAGUCACAAGACUCGACCGGUAAUUCGAAUCUCUCUCUAUCUCUAUGCAUUUAUUGUUCGUAGUCUAGAUUCUAACUAGUCCUCAUUAUAUGACAUUACUUUCUUCUUCCCAUUUUAUGUAAUACUCCAAUGUAGGGUGGCAAACGGACGGGACGGAUCGAAAACGGGUAAUGAAAAAACGGAUAAA